rnacentral:rRNA from 1 species
UACGGGGGGGGCAAGCGUUGUUCGGAAUUACUGGGCGUAAAGGGCUCGUAGGCGGCCAACUAAGUCAGACGUGAAAUCCCUCGGCUUAACCGGGGAACUGCGUCUGAUACUGGAUGGCUUGAGUUCGGGAGAGGGAUGUGGAAUUCCCGGUGUAGCGGUGAAAUGCGCAGAUAUCGGGAGGAACACCGGUGGCGAAGGCAGUUCUCUGGGCCUUACCUGACGCUGAGGAGCGAAAGCGUGGGGAGCGAACGAGG